rnacentral:rRNA from 1 species
CCUACGGGUGGCAGCAGUGAGGAAUAUUGGUCAAUGGACGCAAGUCUGAACCAGCCAUGCCGCGUGCAGGAAGACGGCUCUAUGAGUUGUAAACUGCUUUUGUACGAGGGUAAACGCAGAUACGCGUAUCUGUCUGAAAGUAUCGUACGAAUAUGGAUCGGCUAACUCCGUGCCAGCAGCCGCGGUAAUACGGAGGGUGCGAGCGUUAUCCGGAUUUAUUGGGUUUAAAGGGUGCGUAGGCGGUCCGUUAAGUCAGCGGUAAAAUGGCGGGGCUCAACCGCGUCGAGCCGUUGAAACUGGGAGACGUGAGGUGGCGAGAAGUAAGCGGAAUGCGCGGUGUAGCGGUGAAAUGCAUAGAUAUCGCGCAGAACGCCGAUUGCGAAGGCAGCGUACCGGCGCCAGACUGACGCUGAGGCACGAAAGCGUGGGGAUCGAACAGGAUUAGAUACCCCGGUAGUC